rnacentral:rRNA from 1 species
AUGGAGAUUGCCAUGGGGGCUAUCGGCCCUCUCCUCCCGAAGCUCGCCGAGCUGCUCGUCGGCGAGCUCACCAUGGAGAAACAAGUGAGGAAAGGCAUCGUGUCUCUCGUAACAGAGCUGAAAUUGAUGCAUGUUGUCCUUAGCAAGGUGUCAAAAGUGCCUGCGGACCAGCUUGACGAGGGGGUCAAGAUCUGGGCAGGAAAUGUCAAGGAGUUGUCCUACCAAAUGGAGGACAUCGUUGAUGCUUUCAUGGUGCGUGUGGGGAAUGAUGGCGAGUCCACCAACCCGAGGAACAGAGUCAAGAAGAUACUCAAGAAGGUCAAAAGAUUAUUCAAGAAUGGCAAGGAUCUCCAUCGGAUCUCUGAUGCUCUAGAUGAAGUGGUUCUUCAAGCUAAGCAGUUGGCCGAGCUGCGUCAAAGGUACGAGCAAGAGAUGCGGGACACUAGUGCUCAUACUAGUGUUGACCCUCGCAUGAUGGCCUUGUACACAGAUGUGACAGAGCUCGUCGGCAUUGAAGAAACACGAGACAAGUUGAUCAACAUGUUGAUUGAAGAUGAUGAUUGGUCGAAGUAUCCGUUGAAGACGAUCUCUAUUGUUGGAUUUGGUGGGUUAGGCAAGACAACUCUUGCCAAAGCAGCAUACGACAAGAUCAAAGUGCAAUUUGAUUGUGGUGCUUUUGUCUCGGUUUCGCAAAACCCUGAAAUGAAAAAGGUUUUGAAGGAUAUUCUCUAUGGACUUGACAAGGUCAAGUACGAAAACAUACACAAUGCAGCGAGGGACGAAAAGUAUCUCAUUGAAGAUAUAAUUGAAUUCCUUAAUGAAAAGAGGUACCUCAUCGUAGUCGAUGAUAUAUGGAAUGAAAAAGCAUGGGAGUUAAUUAAGUGUGCUUUCUCCAAGAAGAGCCCCGGAAGCCGACUAAUCACGACAACCCGCAAUGUUAGUGUCUCUACAGCAUGUUGCUCUUUUGAGGGUGAUAUUUAUAGAAUGGAACCCCUUUCUGAUGAUGUAUCAAGAAGACUCUUCUGUAAAAGAGUCUUUUCACAAGAAGAAGGCUGCCCUCGAGAAUUGUUGCAAGUAUCCGAAGAAAUUUUGAAGAAAUGUGGUGGUAUACCGUUAGCUAUUAUUACUAUAGCAAGUCUUCUAGCUAAUAAGGGUCAGAUAAAAGCAAAGGAUGAAUGGUAUGCUUUGCUCAGUUCCAUUGGUCAUGGACUCACAGAAGAUCGCAGUUUGGAGCAGAUGAAAAAGAUAUUAUUAUUCAGCUACUAUGAUCUACCUUCAUAUCUAAAACCUUGUCUAUUAUAUCUUAGCAUCUUCCCAGAAGAUCAUGCGAUUGUGAGAGGUAGACUGAUAUGGAGAUGGAUAUCCGAAGGUCUUGUUUACAGUGAUAAACAAGAAACUAGCUUAUAUGAGCUCGGUAAUAGUUACUUCACUGAGCUAGUAAAUAGAAGUAUGGUCCAGCCAAUAGGCAUUGAUGUUGAAGGAAAUGUAGAAGGUUGCCGUGUACAUGACAUGGUGCUUGACCUUAUAUGCUCAUUAUCAAGUGAAGAAAACUUUGUCACAAUACUAGAUGACACCAGAAGAAAAAUACCUAACUCAGAGAUCAAGGUUCGCAGAUUGUCCAUUCAAAAUACCAAGAUAGAUGUGGAUACCACUAGGAUGGAACAUAUGAGAUCUCUUACCAUUUUCACAAGUGAUGUUGUUGGGAAAGUGUUGGAUAUUUCAAGUUUUCAAGUUCUGCGCGUGUUGGAUUUAGAAGGUUGUAAAAAUGUCUCAGAUGUUGGGUAUGUCGGGAAUCUGUUACAUUUGAGGUACUUGGGGCUAAAAGAUACUCAUGUUAAGGACCUUCCCAUGGAAAUAGGGAAGCUGCAGUUUUUGCUUACCUUGGACUUAAGAGGUUCUAAUAUAAAAGUACUGCCAUCGAGUGUUGUUCAACUAAGACGUCUAAUGUGCCUGUAUGUUGAUUAUGAUAUGAAGCUGUCAUCUGGGAUAGGUAACCUGACAUCCCUAGAAGUGCUAGAUGACCUGGGGUUAUCUGACGUGGACCUUGAUUUUGUGAAAGAAUUGGGCCGUCUGACCAAGCUCAGGGUGCUCCGGCUUGACUGCGAUGAUUUUGAUGAGAGCCUGGGUAAAGCUUUGGAGGAAUCCAUUUGUAAUAUACACAAACUGGACAGUCUAGAUGUAUAUGUCUCUGAUGGACUCAUCAAUUGCCUGAGCGAAGAUUGGGUGCCUCCUCCACAACUCCGUAGAUUGGCUUUCCCGGCAAUUCAAAGUUGGUUCGAGACAUUGCCGUCAUGGAUUAAUCCUUCAUCCCUUCCUCUCCUCUCCUAUCUGGAGAUAACGUUGUUUGAAGUGCGACCGGAGGUCAUCCAAUUUCUAGGGACUCUACCUGCUCUUGUUUAUCUCGAGAUACUGGAUCAUUCUGUGUUCCAAGAAGCGCAUGAGGUGGAAGCGCCCGUCCUUUCCUCUAAUGUUGCAUUAUUCCCAUGUGCGACAGAGUGCCGCUUCUAUGGUAUUGGUGCCGUGCCAUCUAUGUUUCCACGAGGAGCUGCGCCGAGGCUUAAACAGCUUAGGUUCGCUUUACCAGCGAAGUGGGUCUCCCGUGAAAACAUUGAUUUGGGCAUGAGGCACCUUCCUUCCCUCCAGCGAGUCACUGUUACAGUUUCCCAAGGAGAAGCUAACGAUCAGGAGGUGGAUGAAGCAAAGGCUGCUGUGAGGGCCGCGGUGGAAGACCACCCCAACCGUCCCGUCCUCGAGAUUUAA